rnacentral:rRNA from 1 species
UAAGUUACUAAGAGCACACGGGGGAUGCCUAGGCUCUCAAAGGCGAAGAAAGACGUGAUAAGCUGCGAUAAGGUUCGGGGAGAAGCAAAUAUUUGUUGAUCCGGACAUUUCUGAAUGGGGAAACCCGGCUGGUUGAAGACCAGUCAUCCGAAAGGAGGCAAACGCACUGAACUGAAACAUCUAAGUAGGUGCAGGAAGAGAAAACAAUAGUGAUUUCCGUAGUAGCGGCGAGCGAAGUGGAAAUAGCCCAAACCGUUUUUGUUUCGGCAAAAUCGGGGUUGUAGGACUACAAUAUCCGUAAUAAAGUAUAGUGGAACAAGUUGGAAAGCUUGGCAAUAUGAGUGAUAGCCUCGUACACGAAAUGCUUUAGAAGGUAGUAGUAUCCUGAGUAGGGCGGGACAUGUGAAAUCCUGUCUGAAUCUGCCAGAACCAUCUGGUAAGGCUAAAUACUCUUGAGAGACCGAUAGCGAACUAGUACCGUGAGGGAAAGGUGAAAAGAACCCUGAACAAGGGAGUGAAAAAGAUCCUGAAACCGUGUGUUUACAAGCGGUCGAAGUCUUCGGACGACGGCGUGCCUUUUGCAUAAUGAUCCUACGAGUUACUCCUCAUUGGCAAGGUUAAGUCUUUAAGGGACGAAUCCGAAGCGAAAGCGAGUCUGAAUAGGGCGAUAUAGUCAGUGGGGGUAGACGCGAAACCUUGUGAUCUACCCAUGGCCAGGUUGAAGUUUUGGUAACACAAAAUGGAGGACCGAACUCAUAUACGUUGAAAAGUGUUGAGAUGAGCUGUGGGUAGGGGUGAAAGGCCAAUCAAACUGGGAAAUAGCUCGUACUCCCCGAAAUGCAUUUAGGUGCAGCGUUCAGGUAGAGUUUUAUAGAGGUAGAGCUACUGAUAGGGCUAGGGGGCUUCACCGCCUACCAAACCCUGACAAACUCCGAAUGCUAUAAAAUAUACUGAGCAGUGAGGGCAUGGGUGCUAAGGUCCAUGUCCGAGAGGGAAAGAACCCAGAUCAUCAGCUAAGGCCCCCAAAUGUAUGUUAAGUUGAUCAAACGUUGUGCGAUUGCAUAGACAGCUAGGAUGUUGGCUUGGAAGCAGCCAUUCAUUUAAAGAGUGCGUAACAGCUCACUAGUCGAGCGAUCGUGCGUGGAUAAUAAUCGGGCAUUAAACAUACUGCCGAAGCUAUGACAUCGAAAGAUGGGUAGGGGAGCAUUCUAUAUGCGUUGAAUGUGAGGGGUGACCCUUGCUGGAGCGUAUAGAAAAGCAAAUGUAGGAAUAAGUAACGAUAAAGCAGGCGAGAAACCUGCUCACCAAUAGACUAAGGUUUCCUUGGCGACGCUAAUCGUCCAAGGGUUAGUCGGGACCUAACGCGAACCCGAGAGGGGUAGUGGAUGGAUAAUGGGUUAAUAUUCCCAUACUUGUAUUAGUUGCGAUGGGGUGACGGAGUGAUGAACGAACCGCGUACUGACGGAAUAGUACGUUAAAGGGUGUAGAUAUUGGGACUGUAGGCAAAUCCGCAGACCUAGUCGAACCUGAUAGUACCACAAAGCUUCGGCUGCGUGGAUAGUGUUCCUAAACGCUUCCAAGAAAAACCUCUAAGCUUCAGACUAGUACAACUCGUACCGCAAACCAACACAGGUAGUCAAGUAGAGAAUACUAAGGUGCUCGAGUGAUUCAUGGCUAAGGAACUAGGCAAAAUGGUCUCGUAACUUCGGGAGAAGAGACGCUCCGCUUAUGCGGAGCCGCAGUGAAUAGGCCCAGGCGACUGUUUAUCAAAAACACAUGGCUUUGCAAAAUCGAAAGAUGAAGUAUAAGGCCUGACACCUGCCCGGUGCCGGAAGGUUAAGUGGAGAUGUUAGCUUCGGCGAAGCAUUCAAAUGAAGCCCCGGUAAACGGCGGCCGUAACUAUAACGGUCCUAAGGUAGCGAAAUUCCUUGUCGGG